CGUGCAGGCGGUUUCUUAAGUCGGACGUGAAAGCUCUCGGCUCAACUGGGAGAGGUCGUUCGAAACUAGGGAACUUGAGGGUGGUAGAGGAGAGUGGAAUUCCCGGUGUAGUGGUGAAAUGCGUAGAUAUCGGGAGGAACACCAGUGGCGAAGGCGGCUCUCUGGGCCAUUCCUGACGCUAAGACGCGAAAGCUAGGGGAGAGAACG
rnacentral:rRNA from 1 species